ACGUUUAUUUGCCUUGCCAUCCAGGUCUCCACUUGGUGAUUAUGGUACGUUUAUUUGCCUUGCCAUCCAGGUCUCCACUUGGUGAUUAUGUUACGUUUAUUUGCCUUGCCAUCCAGGUCUCCACUUGGUGAUUAUGUUACGUUUAUUUGCCUUGCCAUCCAGGUCUCCACUUGGUGAUUAUGUUACGUUUAUUUGCCUUGCCAUCCAGGUCUCCACUUGGUGAUUAUGUUACGUUUAUUUGCCUUGCCAUCCAGGUCUCCACUUGGUGAUUAUGUUACGUUUAUUUGCCUUGCCAUCCAGGUCUCCACUUGGUGAUUAUGUUACGUUUAUUUGCCUUGCCAUCCAGGUCUCCACUUGGUGAUUAUGUUACGUUUAUUUGCCUUGCCAUCCAGGUCUCCACUUGGUGAUUAUGUUACGUUUAUUUGCCUUGCCAUCCAGGUCUCCACUUGGUGAUUAUGUUACGUUUAUUUGCCUUGCCAUCCAGGUCUCCACUUGGUGAUUAUGUUACGUUUAUUUGCCUUGCCAUCCAGGUCUCCACUUGGUGAUUAUGUUACGUUUAUUUGCCUUGCCAUCCAGGUCUCCACUUGGUGAUUAUGUUACGUUUAUUUGCCUUGCCAUCCAGGUCUCCACUUGGUGAUUUUGUACGUAUGUAUUAGAUUUUCUGUAGCUGCUCAUUGAUAUCAAAUUAUUUGAGGUUUUUUAAGUAGGUCACUGUAAUUAUGUCUACGGCCACCGUGAAUCCUGUACGUAAUGGUCAAAUGGGUGGGUAUUCCAACAGUUUUCAAGGUCAUCUUUUUUAUUUUAUUAUUUUUAUUGUUACCUAGAUUUGUAUGUAUAUAAUCCUUUAUGAUGAUAUGUACAUCUGUGGUUAAUUAUGAUUGACUAUUCACAAAAGUGAAUUGAAUUGUUUCCACACCCACCAUGGGUCAUGUGCAUAAUGGUCAUGUGAGGUGAAAUGUGUAUAUUUUAGUCUGUUUGACCUGAUUUUAGUCUGUUUGACCUGACGAAGAUCUGAUUCGGAUCAAAACGUUGUCAGUAAAGUGGUGAAUUGGGAGCUUAAACAGCCUUCCUGUUCCUCACCAGACUGUUCCCACAACCUAAUGAAGCAUUCUGUGAACCUUUAAAGAACAGGCAAAAUGUCUUGCUGGAAUGUUCUUGCAACAACAGUCAAAUGUUUUAUACAAACAUUCUAUAAUCACCGCCACGAAUGGAGAGUUUUUGUGUUAUGAGAACAUUGGCCGCGACCUAACGAAUGUUCUGGGAACUUUCACAGAAUCAAUUUUGGUUUGCUGGGAAAAUAUUACUGGCACAUUGUGUUAUUACAUUACCUGUAAACCUAAUGAGAUUCUUUGGGGAAUGUUCUGUGGUGGUUGUUAAAAAUGUUGUGCACAACAUUUUAGUGAAUGUCAGGAGAACAUUCUAAGGAUAUUUAAUUUAAAACAUUUUUGGAAAAUUAUUAAUUAUUAAUUUUGUUAUCUCUGAAUUGCUGUGAUGGACCGUGAGGGAUUCUAAAUACUGGCCAGCAAUUAACAGCAGACCUUUGAUUUGCAUUGUUCUUCUUCCUAACUUAAUAUGUUUCCCAGACACCAGUCCCUUGGCUGCUGACCUUCCAGAAAAACAGCCAAUAUGGCGGAAACAGUUUGUGUUUGAGAAGGAAUUUAUUCAUGAAGUGCAGCUGGUAAUAGCAGUAUAUACAGUAUUGACAGAACUAGAGAAAGUACAUGCUUUUUCCACUAUAUGUCCCUUCAGUUUGCCCAUGAUACCCGAACAAGCGUCUGCCACCUCAAAACCAAGUGAUCUUCAAGGGGAUUACGCUACUGAAUAUUUAUAAGAAGUGUUACUCUUACUAGAAUAAAGAAUAUUGAUAAGAAAUUGUAAAGGCACCCACCAUAUACCACCCACCACUGCGACCUGUAUGCUCUAGUCGGCUGGCCCUCGCUACAUAUUCAUCGCCAGACCCACUGGCUCCAGGUCAUCUAUAAGUCUAUGUUAGGUAAAACUCCACCUUAUCUCAGUUAACUGGUCACGAUAACAACACCCACCUGUAGCACACGUUCCAGCAGAUAUAUCUCACUGAUCAUCCCCAAAGCCAACACCUAAUUUGGCUGCCUUUCCUUCCAGUUCUCUGCUGGCAGUGACUGGAACGAAUUGCAAAAAUCGCUGAAGUGGGAGACUUUUAUUUCCCUCACCAACUUUAAACAUCAGCUAUCUGAGCAGCUAACCGAUCGCUGCAGCUGUACAUAGUCCAUCUGUAAAUAGCCCACCCAAUCUACCUACCUCAUCCCCAUACUGUUUUUAUUUUAUUUUCUGCUCUUUUGCACACCAGUAUUUCUACUUGCACAUCAUCAUCUGCUCAUUUAUCACUCCAGUGUUAAUCUGCUAAAUUGUAAUUAUUUGCUCCUAUGGCCUAUUUAUUGCCUACCUCCUCAUGCCUUUUGCACACACUGUAUAUAGACUUUCUUUUUUCUACUGUGUCAUUGACUUGUUUGUGUUAUUAGCUUGUUUAUUGUUUACUCCAUGUGUAACUCUGUGUUGUUGUCUGUGUCACACUGCUUUGCUUUAUCUUGGCCAGGUCGCAGUUGCAAAUGAGAACUUGUUCUCAACUAGCCUACCUGGUUAAAUAAAGGUGAAAUAAAAAAAAUUAAAACCUAGUGUUUAGAGCGUUGGGCCAGUAACCGAAAGAUUACUAGAUCGAAUCCCUGAGCUGACAAGGUAAAAAUCUGUUGUUCUGCCCCUGAACAAGGCAGUUAACCCACUGUUCCUAGGCCGUCAUUGUAAAUAAGAAUUUGUUCUUAACUGACUUGACCAGUUAAAUAAAGGAACAUGUAAAAACAUAUAUGGAUGGCUUAGUACAGGUGUAAACCAUUAACCAGGCUAUUUGCUCAUGAUUCAAUAGAAAGGGCAACCGAUUUGCUGCUCUGUAUGGGAUUUAUGCCUUUUCAAGAGGUUGCUGAGAACCUACAGUAAUUACUUAAACUCACAAUGCCUUUUAGGUUUGUAAAGCCAUGGUGAAUAUAUUAAAGCAUACAGUACACGUCCAACAGUUCCUCUCUUUCAUCCUGCUAACAGAGCCUAACAAGAAACCCUUUGAUAGAAGCAAGGAGACAUCCACAUGUAAUUAUAUUUGAUCAUGUUUGCAUAUGUCACUCCCACAGUCUCUGUCACGCUCUGCGAUUUGGCUGCUCUCUCUGAUCCUUUUGGAGACCCUUCCUAGCUCCUAAUCCAAAAGUUGAUUUCAACCCCUUUUCUCUCUCUUUCCUUUUUUCAGUAUGUAGAAGAAGAAACAGAUGCAUUGGAAGAGUAGAAUCAGACAUCCUGUCUCAUUUAUCUGGAAGAGAGAGAUAAGUGAGCACCCCGCCUCUCUCAGGGAACGCACAUUAACCGUGCCUUGAAGGCUCCCUCUGCUAUGUGUGGAGGGGGGAGAGAAGGGAGCGGGGGAAGGGAGUGAGUGUCUGUCUGUUGGCCGUAAGCACACAGAUUUUUAGAAAACUCACUUAGAAAACGGAGAAAAUGUCCCCAUCGCAUGCUCUCUAGCUCACCCCAGCUCUGACGCUAUGUCAAUAGUGAGACAACGCCUGAUGCUUUACCAUGUUUUUCAAGUGUGAUGUGCGAUGCUAUCCAGAGGUGAAGGACUGACAAGUCUGAGACGUGUAAACUUGUGUCCGACAGUAACUCAUGACCCUGUUACUGAAGUCUGGCGGAGAUACUACACAAAAACAUAAUAAAAAGACAGUUCACUUUUUUCUUGGCAUGUCUUACAUGACUAAAAUCAACCAUCCUUGAUUUGUUUCUCGGUUAACUGCCGCCCCACGACUUGGUUCUGCUAUAAAGCUGAGGGAUGGGGCUGGAUAAAUUAAUUAAGGAUUGUGCCUUUAAUGUAUGGACAUCUUCAUAGUAUCUGUGUGACAAGGAAAAUCAAUGAGGACAAUACAAAAGUAUGCAGCAAAAGAAACAAUUUAUUUGGAAUAUGCAUUACUAGUACAAAGAAAGAGACGAUAAAAACUACACCUUGUUAGCUAAUUUUUUCUCCACAGAAAAACGGGUUUAAAUAGGAAUUAAAAAGACAAUAGUUUUGCGGUUUCCAUUUUUAUACCUUCUUUACAUUUGUAGAGAUCUUAAAAGUUCAAACCUGUCAAGUAAAAGGCUCCACGAUUUCACUCUGAAAUCUUUAUAAAAAAAUAACAUUCAAAAACACUGCAGUACGGUAUUUUAUUAAAGAACAAAAUACAUGCAACAAAGAAAACAUUUGAUGUUGACAAAAUGUUACAGUUUCUUAUUUCUUUUUAUAGUAAUUUUUUCCUUUUAUAUUCAGAAACGUAAAGCAUCAUUACAUGACGCUUUCAAUAAUACGGAGAUAUUGGACAGGCAAUGUGAAAAGUAGAGUAAUGUUUUUUUUUAGGGGCACUGCAUCACAAAAGCUAUUGUUCUGCUGGCCACAUGGCUAAAAUGAUCAACAACUAAAAACAAACAUCUGGAUGGAAAGGCCAGGGAACACCACUCCAACAUAGUCCACUCAUAAGGUACACAUGUCUGUCAACUGAAAAGAUAUUCUGCUUCACUCAUCAUAGUACACAUCCACGUCUUCAAAAAUGAUAUCAAAUAUAAAAUGUACUGUUUCUGAAAGAAGGACUAUGGUGGAUUCAGCUGUGUGGUAUUGUAGUUACACUGUAUCAUGUAUAUCUGUUACCAUGGUAUACGGAUUUGGUUGGAC